GGGUAUAUAGCUCAGUGGUAGAGUGGCGUGGUUAACACACAUGAGGUCCUGGAUUCAAUUCCCAGUACCUCCA
rnacentral:tRNA from 1 species